rnacentral:RNase_P_RNA from 1 species
CCCACAACCCGAGCUAUCGCUCCCCGUUUCGGCGGGGGGAGGAAAGUCCGGACAGCGCAGAGCAACCCACCGGUUAAGCGCCGGCCUCUCAACGCAGCAAUGCGGGCGGAGAGAGAAAGUGCCACAGAAAAUAACUACUUCUCCCCACAGUAGUGUGGGGAGAAGAAAAGGUGAAAAUGUGAGGUAAAAGCUCACAGUAAAGGCUGGUAACAGCCGUUACGGGUAAACCUUGGGUGCUGUAAUGCCAUGUAUAGGACCGCCUGAGGGCUGCUCGCCCGAGGUCCAGGGUAGGCAGCAUGAUCCUGGCAGUAAUGCCCGGGCCAGAUAAAUGAUAGUUUAGAAACAGAAUCCGGCUUACGAGGUUGUGUUUUUU